UACGGAGGGGGCUAGCGUUGUUCGGAAUUACUGGGCGUAAAAGCGCGCGUAGGCGGCUUUGUAAGUUAGAGGUGAAAGCCCAGGGCUUAACCCUGGAAUUGCCUUUAAGACUGCAUCGCUAGAAUCGUGGAGAGGUGAGUGGAAUUCCGAGUGUAGAGGUGAAAUUCGUAGAUAUUCGGAAGAACACCAGUGGCGAAGGCGACUCACUGGACACGUAUUGACGCUGAGGUGCGAAAGCGUGGGGAGCAAACAGG
rnacentral:rRNA from 1 species